AAGAUAAACAAUUGAAUUUCAUGUCAACCUUUAGUUGCCUUUUGUUCAGAUUUUUAUCUUGCAAUCCAGCAUCAAAUGGAGAAAAACAAGAGCAAAUAAUAUAUUCCAUUUCAGAUGCCUUUCCUUUGUAUUUGUUACCUAGCUACAGAGCUAAACAGCUGUCAAACUGUGUAGAUGACGCAACCACACCGCUGUUCAGUGAUUACAAAGUGAAAAGGAAUCUGUGGUGUCAGGGUAUUGGGGCUAAAAUGUGAACUCACAAAUGUGAAGAUAUUCUGAGAAGUAAAUUGUGUGAGGAAUUUGUCUGAUUUAACAAGAUCACUAAAGAGUGUAUUUGAUUAUGGGAGGAUCAUUUUUUCUUAGAGAUGAUGGUAGAAUUAUAUUUCCAGUGGCAUCACAUCUCUUCGUAAGCCUUCAUGAGUGACACCUACCAUGAUACUCUAAAAUUUCAGCAUGCUAACUCUCCCAUAGUCACAUUGCUCAUCCGUGUUUUGCUAUUAUAGAGCUACUUCCACAUGCCAUGGUCCAUCAGCGUGCAUUUCUUCUGCUGACUUUACCCAUAAACAGGAUUAAGGGAUUACUGCCUUUAUAUGAGAGGAUGAAGACAUUCUGUAUGGCACCAUCUCUACAGGGGAGAAUGUGUUUAAAGAAACCCAAGGCUGAAGAAGUAAUGUUGCUCACAGGGGGAGACUAUAGAACAACCCUUGAUUUGUUAUUAAUGUUCAUAUGAUAUUAAUUCGGUGAUUUAAGUAGACGGGAAAGGUCUUUAAUGAAGGACUGUCUGGAAACCAAAGCACAAUGAAGUUCUCAUUUGGAAGGCAGAGCAAACAGGCGGAAAUAAAUGGACUGCUUAGGAGAGAGCUUGGAAUUCACAGCAGUUUUAUUCUUUAUGUAGGAGUAGACAUGGGAAUUGUAAGGAUUUGAAUGAUUCUGCAGGUGAUUUUGACUUUAAAUAUGUAUUUAUAUACUAAUGAAUGGAAUGGCAUGAGAGUCAGUAAGAUUGAGGGUCAUUUGUUUUUGUUUUCUUUUCCCUUUUUACCAAUUAAUUAAAAAAAUUGUCUGCAUUCUUUCAUGCACUGCACACUGAUUUAAAUGUUUUACUUAAGAUAUUUAAAAAAAAAAAUCAAUCUAAGACUAAAUAAGGGUUUCUUAACACUAGGUUGGAGUACAGGCUACACUGAAACAUUCACUCUCCCCACAGUGUCUCUCUUCCCCACACAGUGUCUCUCUUCACUUUUUUAUCGAGUGUCUGGUCACAGAUCCAAUCUCCAGCUUUAAUUCCUUCAUCUUGUCUUUCAUCUUUGGGCGAGAGAUUUCUAACUGGGUUUAAUGUCCUCCUGACCCUUCAUCUUACCCAGGGCUACAGUGAGGAUCUACAGACACUUCUUUAAUAGAGCUGUAAAAUAUUGAAAACUUCCAUUAGGGACACUAAACUUUCAGUAUCUCUCUUUCGUUCUCUCACUCGUUUUUUUCUUGUUACAUAAAAAGCCGGCAGUGAGAUUACGUGGGAUUAUCACAGCGUGUGUGAUUCUCUUUAUUAUUAGUGGCUAUGCCCAUUAGCGUACAGCAGUGUAGAAUAUUCAUUUGUACUCUUCCGCUGACUCAGACAAAAGAAUAAAACGCAAAGAUUUGGGUCAGUGUAAGGAAAACAACAUCUCAUUAGUGUGGAAACACUGUACCUCAUUAAUGAGUUUUUCACCACCCACAGUAUGGAGGACAGUCUUCCUCAUUUAUUGAGGUGGAGCUGGACAUUUUUGAGCGUGCAGUCUGCUGGCAGAUGGUUGAUAAAUGAGCAUCAGGCAUGCAUUGCUCUUACGCUGCAUGACCGUGAAGGAUCAUUCCGUGCUUUUCUCCACUGCAGAACGUUCCUGAGAUUAUACUCGUCUAUCAAUGUAGCUCCCAGAGUAAUACUCAAACUCUGAUUCUCAUCCUAAUAGAGCUCAGACCAAAAUGCAUAUUACAAGUGGGAAAUGCUUGUUUUUAUUUUACUUUGUGUAAAGGUGAAGUAAUUUCUGUGGCUUAAAACAUAAAUACAAAAAUAAUUAUUGUUUCCAAACAAAGCUUAAGAAAGGAAGGAAGAAUAAGUCAAAAUGGGAAGAAGGAAAGAAUAAUAAGGUUAAAUAGAAGGAAGGAAGAAUAAGGUAAAAUGGAAAGAAGAAUAAGGCAAUAUGCAAGGAAAGAAGGAAGGAAGAAAGAGUCAGGUAAAAUGGAAGGGAAGAAGGAAGGAAGGAAGGAAGCAAGGAAGAAUAAGGUACAAUGGAAGGAAGGAAGCAAGGAAGUAAAAUGGGAGGAAAGAAGGAAGGAUGGAUAAAGGUAAAAUGGAAGGAAGAGAGGAAGAAUACGGUAAAAUGGAAAGAAGGAAGGAAGAAUAAAGUAAAAUGGAAAGAAGGAAGGAAGGAAGAAAAAGGGAAAAUCGGAGUAAGGAAAGAUUAAAAAAAGGAAGGAAGAAUAAAGUAAAAUGGGAAGAAGGAAGAAAAUGGUAAAAUGAAAUGAAAGGAAGGAAGGAAGAAAAAGGGAAAAUCAGAGGAAGGAAAGAUAGAAAGGAAGGAAGAAUAAGGUAAAAUGGAAAGAAAGAAGGAAGCAAGGAGGAAGAGUAAGGUAAAAUGAGAGGAAAGAAGAAAGAAAGAAUACAAUAAAAUGGAAGAAAGGGAGGAUAGAACGAAGGAAGAAUAAAUGAAAGGAAGGAGGAAUACUGUAAAAUGGAAGGAAGGAAGGAAGAAAAAGGGAAAAUCGGCAGAAGGAAAGAUAAAAAAGGAAGGAAGAAUAAAGUAAAAUGGGGAGAAAGAAGGAAGCAAGGAAGGAAGAAUAUGGUAAAAUGAAAGGAAGGAAGGAAUGAAGAAAAAGGGAAAAUCAGAGGAAGGAAAGAAAGAAAGGAAGGAAGAAUAAGGUAAAAUGAAAGGAAUAACGAAAUGAAGGUAAAAUAGGAAGGAAAAAAGAAAUGUAAAAUGGAACAAAGGAAGGAAGCACGAAAGGGAAAGACAGCAGGAAGGAAAGGGAAAACAAGAAGAAAGUAAGGCGAAAGCAGGAAGAAAGUGAGGUGGAAAAAAACAGGAAUUAAGCAAGCGGGAUGAAAGUGAAGGGGAAAGAAAGCAGAAAGGAAGAAGAGGGAAGAAAAAGAUUUUUAAAAAGCACACAGAAAGAACUUUAACAUCAAAAAAUUACACAUGUGGCCUUAAAAGGAUGAGAUGGAUUCUCUCUCAGGCUCUUCCUGUAGCCUGAAGUCCUUCCAUUUCCCUCUGUGCCUUCUCUUUCUCACCUGUGAACAGUAUAGAGGAAUUACUGGCUCAGAAUAACCACAUAUUCAGUACAAAGAAGGUCCUUUAAAAUACUGUCAAGCUCUUGAGAGAGCCUUUGUCUGAAAACUGAGAGCUCA